AUUGAACGCUGGCGGCAGGCCUAACACAUGCAAGUCGAGCGAGCGGCGGACGGGUGAGUAAUGUCUGGGAAACUGCCUGAUGGAGGUGGAUAACUACUGGAAACGGUAGCUAAAACCGCAUACCAUCAGAUGUGCCCAGAGGGUAUUCGCUAGUAGGUGUGGUAAUGGCUCACCUAGGCGAAGAUCCCUAGCUGGGCUGAGAGGAUGACCAGCCACACUGGAACGUAGACACGGUCCAGACUCCUACGGGAGGAAGCAGUGGGGAAGAUGGCACAAUGGGCGAAAGCCUGAUGCAGCCAUGCAGCGUGUGUGAAGAAGGCCUGCGGGUUGUAAAGCACUUUACGCGGGGCGGCGUUACCCGCAGAAGAAGCACCGGCUAACUCCGUGCCAGCAGCCGCGGUAAUAC
rnacentral:rRNA from 1 species